rnacentral:lncRNA from 1 species
GGUCUGCUGAUAAAGACGCACAUGAACAUGUGUCUCUCUGCGCCUUCAAAAAUAAUAUUCAUCAUUUAAUUAGAAAUAGAGGGAAACAUAUUCUCAUAUCACUCAACUUUAAUGACUGCUAUUCCAAGUGACGCCCAUAUAGGGUAAGUAGAGAAAACUCUUCUGGACCUCGGCAAGAAACCAUACCCGCCUGUUAAGAAU